UACGUAGGGUGCAAGCGUUGUCCGGAAUUAUUGGGCGUAAAGAGCUCGUAGGCGGUCUGUCGCGUCUGCUGUGAAAAUCCAGGGCUCAACCCUGGACCUGCAGUGGGUACGGGCAGACUAGAGUGCGGUAGGGGAGAUCGGAAUUCCUGGUGUAGCGGUGAAAUGCGCAGAUAUCAGGAGGAACACCCAUAGCGAAGGCAGCUUGCUGGGACGUUACUGACGCUAAGGCGCGAAAGCGUGGGGAGCGAACAGG
rnacentral:rRNA from 1 species